rnacentral:rRNA from 1 species
UCGGGAAUUUUGGGCAAUGGGGGCAAGCCUGAUCCAGCCAUGCCGCGUGAGUGAUGAAGGCCUUAGGGUUGCAAAGCUCUUUUGCCGGGGACGAUAAUGACGGUACCCGGAGAAUAAGUCCCGGCUAACUUCGUGCCAGCAGCCGCGGUAAUACGAAGGGGACUAGCGUUGUUCGGAAUCACUGGGCGUAAAGCGCACGUAGGCGGAUUUGUAAGUCAGGGGUGAAAUCCCGGGGCUCAACCUCGGAACUGCCUUUGAUACUGCGGAUCUCGAGUCCGAUAGAGGUGAGUGGAAUUCCUAGUGUAGAGGUGAAAUUCGUAGAUAUUAGGAAGAACACCGGUGGCGAAGGCGGCUCACUGGAUCGGUACUGACGCUGAGGUGCGAAAGCGUGGGGAGCAAACAGGAUUAGAUACCCUAGUAGUCCCUGAGCGGGCUGGCAAGGCGCAU